AAAGUCAGAGGGGGAAAUGAAAGAGAAGGGGAAGAAGAGCGAAGAGGAGGAGACCCUGGGGAAGACCCGGAAAAGGAAAUCUAAAGAAGAAGGAAAAAAGAACAACAAAAAGGCUAAAAAGGAGGAGAAAGAGGAAGAAAAGAAAGAGGCAGAAAACAAGUGGAAAUGGUGGGAAGAGGAGAAGAAAGAAGAUGGGGUGAAGUGGACGCAGCUGGAACACAGAGGACCCUAUUUCGCCCCCCUCUACGAGCCGCUGCCUGAUGAUGUGCAGUUUUAUUAUGACGGCAAACCCCUGAAGCUGAGCCUGGCAACGGAGGAAAUUGCUACCUUCUACGCCAAAAUGCUUGACCAUGAAUACACGACCAAGGAGAUCUUCCAGAACAACUUCUUCAAUGACUGGAGGAAGGAGAUGACAUCAAAGGAGCAGAAGAUAAUCAAGGACCUGGACAAGUGUGACUUCAGGGAGAUCCACAAGUACUUUGUGGAAAAAAGUGAGGCACGGAAAGCACUCUCCAAAGAGGAGAAGCAGAAACUGAAGGAGGAGGCAGACAAGAUCCAGGAGGAGUAUGGGUACUGCAUCCUGGAUGGGCACCGGGAGAAGAUAGGUAACUUCAAAACUGAGCCGCCAGGGCUGUUCCGUGGACGUGGUGACCACCCCAAAAUGGGCAUGCUGAAGAAGAGGAUCAUGCCAGAAGAUGUUAUCAUCAACUGCAGCAAGGACUCCAAGAUCCCCGAGCCACCAGAAGGGCACAAGUGGAAGGAGGUGCGCUUUGACAACACGGUUACCUGGCUGGCCUCGUGGACGGAAAACAUCCAGAACACUUUGAAGUACAUCAUGCUGAACCCCAGCUCCAAGCUGAAGGGGGAGAAAGACUGGCAGAAGUAUGAGGUAGCCCGGCGCUUAAAGGAUGUUGUCCACAAAAUCCGUGCUCAGUACAGAACUGAUUGGAAGUCCAAGGAGAUGAAGAAGCGGCAAAGAGCAGUGGCCCUCUACUUCAUUGAUAAGCUGGCCCUGCGAGCUGGCAAUGAGAAAGAGGAAGGGGAGACUGCGGACACAGUUGGCUGCUGUUCCCUGCGUGUGGAGCACAUAACGCUGCACCCCAAGCUGGAUGGGCAGGAUCACGUGGUGGAGUUUGACUUCCUUGGGAAAGACUCGAUCCGUUACUACAACAAAGUGUCAGUGGAGAAGCCGGUGUUCAAGAACCUGCAGCUGUUCAUGAAGAACAAGGACCCAGCAGAUGACCUCUUUGACAGGCUUAAUACAUCCAUCUUGAACAGACACCUCCAGAGUCUGAUGGAUGGUUUGACUGCCAAAGUGUUCAGGACCUACAACGCCUCCAUCACCCUGCAGGAGCAGCUCAAGGCACUCACUAACUCUGAAGACAAUGUUGCAGGAAAACUCCUCUCCUACAACCGAGCUAACAGAGCUGUGGCCAUCCUGUGCAACCAUCAGAGGUCUACACCGAAAACCUUUGAGAAGUCGAUGCAAAACCUCCAGACCAAGAUCGAUGCCAAGAAGCAACAAGUGGAAGAAGCCCAGCAAGAGCUGAAAAAAGCUGAGGAUGAGUUCGAAGAUACACAAGAUGACAAAGCAAAAGCCAAUGUGGAGAAGAAAAAGAAGCUGUUGAAGCGGCUGGAAGAGCAGCUGGCCAAGCUGAAUGUUCAGGCCACAGACAAGGAGGAGAACAAGCAGAUAGCUCUGGGCACGUCCAAGCUGAAUUACCUGGACCCCAGGAUUAGCAUAGCCUGGGCUCCAGAUGAUGAUGACUCACAGUAAUGCCACCAGCAUGAAACCCCCAAGAGUGGGAAGGGUGAGUGUAACACCAGGAAAAUGAAAACACCAGGAAACCGCAAAGUGUGUGUAAUAAUUUCAGUAAUAAUAUAAUUCUCCAUAGGAUUAUUCUUUGUUUUCCUACAGUAGUUAGAUCUAGACUGACUGUCAUUCUUGGAUGAGACUUAACAUAUUAUUAGUAUAAUUGAAAUCUUACUAGCACGCAUAGAUGAUGUGCUUUCUGUUUGCGUAUCAGAUGAGAUUUUGAGGUGGUAUCAGUAGCAUGGCAUCCUUCUCUGGUCUCCCGCUAGUUCUCCUGGGCUCCCCUGAUGUUGCUGGUGUGGUGCCAAGCUCAGGGUUGUGGUAAUAGAGCUGGUAGAGCAGCACUUGAGCCAAGUCAUGGGAGGAAAAUCUGCAUAGCUGCAGGGGGACAAGCCUUCCCAGUGCUAACCCAAGGCUCCAGACUUAACCCUGAUUAGGCAACCAAAGAUGGGGGCCCUGGUCCUCAGAGUGGCUCCUCCUUGCUGGACCCAGUAUGCAUACCCCCUUUCCUCUAGGACCAACUCACAGCGUGCAAGUUUGAGUCCCCAUCCCCCUUCUUGGGUGGCCGUGCUUCCUCAUAGGCUGGUCACCACUUCCUACCCACCUUUUAUCUCCCGCCUUCUUUCAAAGAAGAACCACUGCUAUCAGUAGCAACUGCUUUCCUUCUGGUUUAUUUUGAGAUAUUAAGUAACGCUUGCUCAGACAAAGGCAGUGCGCAAAACUCGGGCAGCAGAUGUGAGCGCUGGGCUUCUGCAAGUACGUGUCAGCCCCCCGGUCUGGGCUGUGAACACUGCAACACGUGGUUUGACCUGUGUCAGCCUCUGCGUUGGCCACCCUCCCAGCUAGGACUCCACGGGGGAUUUGGGAGCUGCUUCCCCUGAAGACUGUGCAGGCAGAGAAGAGCAAAUGGAGAUGAGGGCUCUCCUGAUGGCAUGUCUGGCUGCUGUCCUCUACACGGACAUCGCCAACUCGCUGACGUGCUACACCUGCACCAACCAGACCAGCAAUGAUCAGUGCUUGACGGCUUCCUCAUGUACCAAAAAUGAGACUGCCUGUGUGACUAUAGUUUGGAAGACAGGCACUCACACGCAGAAGCUGAUCAGCAAAAACUGCAUUUCAAAUUGCAGCCUGUUUAAAGACCCUUAUGAAUGCUGCCCUCAGGACAAGUGCAAUCUCAACGAGGCAUCAGGGAUGAGACCUCCUACGGUGGUGCUGGGAACUGCAGUUCUGGUCAGUGUUACCAGGCCCCUUCUCUGGACUGGACUGUGAUGAAGUCCCUGUUGAAUAACCCGUGCAAGCUUCUUAACCCAUCCUGGUCCACUAGCACCUGCAGUUAUUUUGCCUGUCUGUCCUCAGAAUGUCUUCUGAACAUCUGGUGUUCAGGCAUGGAAGGGCCAGUCUGAACCUAGCUUGAGUAUGAUGGAGAAGAGAUUCCUCUGUUACUCUUUUAUAGCUUCUCAUGCAACAGGGCUCUGCUGUCAACAUCAAAAAAAAAAAAAAAGAAAAAAUAAAUUUCCAAGACAUCUAUUAUUUA